CCUCCUCUUCUCAUCUCUUCUCUCCUUGCUCCCUCCCGUCUCUUCUCACCGGCGAGACAAAUCGCCGCCUAUCUCUCGUCUCUCCAAUCAACAUCAACAGCCGGCGAGGAGAGCAACAUCUCCGGCCAACUGACCCCGACAUCGAUCCACUGCCCUUCUCCUUUAAUUGAAGGCAACUGAUGAAGCUCAACAUCUAAAAAAGUUGAUACAAGACUAUAUUGCUUCUUUCAUCAAAGUAGGAGAUAAGGAAAAAGAAUUGGGACGCACUCCCAUUGAACCAGAGGUUUUCAAAAAGACUCAUGUCAGGAAGAAAGAAAAUGAGUCGGAUCCGGAUGUGUGGGUGGAUGAAAGGGCCGAACGAACUUUUGUAAGUUAUUUAAUAUGAAUAAUAUAUAUCAAUAGUGAAUAUAUUUAUGAUAUGUAUAUAUAUUGAUGUCAAUAUUUAUAUUUAAUAUGCAAAAUGACUUUCAUAAGUACGUCGCUGAGAAUCUAGAUAGUUCGGUUCAAUUGACACCUGAACUGUCCACUCAGAUUUGGAAAGAAAAAGUGGUAGGGAGGACACACAAGGGUAGAUGCUAUGGUCUAGGCUCUCGCAAUGAUGUUAGACUCCUUCAGUCAGGCUUAGAAGGUAUUAGAUCGUCACGUCAAGCUGA